CAGUAGCCGCGGUAAUACGAAGGGUGCAAGCGUUACUCGGAAUUACUGGGCGUAAAGCGUGCGUAGGUGGUGGUUUAAGUCCGUUGUGAAAGCCCUGGGCUCAACCUGGGAAUUGCAUUUGUGACUGUAUAGCUAGAGUACGGCAGAGGGGGAUGGAAUUCCGCGUGUAGCAGUGAAAUGCGUAGAUAUAGGAAGGAACACCAGUGGCGAAGGCGACCACCUGGACUGAUACUGACACUGAGGUGCGAAAGCGUGGGGAGCAAACAGGAUUAGAUACCCCAGUAGUCCCUGUCUCUUAUAC
rnacentral:rRNA from 1 species